rnacentral:rRNA from 1 species
UACGUAGGUGGCAAGCGUUGUCCGGAUUUAUUGGGUUUAAAGGGUGCGUAGGCGGCUUUGUAAGUCAGUGGUGAAAUACGGUAGCUUAACUAUCGAGGUGCCAUUGAUACUGCAGAGCUUGAGUACAGGUGAGGUAGGCGGAAUUGACGGUGUAGCGGUGAAAUGCUUAGAUAUCGUCAAGAACACCUAUAGCGAAGGCAGCUUACUAGGCUGUAACUGACGCUGAGGCACGAAAGUGUGGGGAUCAAACAGG